rnacentral:rRNA from 1 species
CCUACGGUAGGCAGCAGUGAGGAAUAUUGGUCAAUGGACGCAAGUAGGAACCAGCCAUGCCGCGUGCAGGAUGACGGCUCUAUGAGUUGUAAACUGAUUUUGUACGAGGGUAAACCCCGAUACGUGUAUCGGGGUGAAAGUAUCGUACGAAUAAGGAUAGGCUAACUACGUGCCAGAAGCCGCGGUAAGACGGAGGAUCCGAGCGUUAUCCGGAGUUAUUGGGGUUAAAGGGUGCGUAGGCGGUUUGAUAAGUUAGAGGUGAAAUGUCGGGGCUCAACCCCGAAACGUCCUCUAAUACUGUUGGACUAGAGAAUAGUUGCGGUAGGCGGAAUGUAUGGUGUAGCGGUGAAAUGCUUAGAGAUCAUACAGAACACCGAUUGCGAAGGCAGCUUACCAAACUAUAUCUGACGUUGAGGCACGAAAGCGUGGGUAGCAAACAGGAUUAGAUACCCUGGUAGUC